CAUGAACUUAGCAAGCUAGUCAUUCAUGCAUGCAUGAUCAGAGCUAGUCAUUCAUGCAUGCAUGAUCAGUUUCAGUUGGGAAAUGGAAGUUUGUGAGGUGGCUUGACAGGGCCAGUUGGGGGCUUUAGUUUCCUCGGUGGCUUUGAUGGGUCUCUUCCACCCUCCACCACAUUCUGUUCAAGAUGGCGAUCGUGAUGAGGUGGCUUGUCUCCCUUGCCCUUAGGAGGCUGAUCAACUGGCUUGGGCUCUGGCUUGGGCUCUGGGAAUGGCUUGUGCUCAUCAAGUGGGGUUGGUGGCUUGGGUUUUGUGGGUGGCUUCGGCUUCUUUCCCUGAGGAGGCAAUUUCCCAUCCAAUGGCUCCUCUAGCAAACGAGUUCUGGUUUCUUGUUUGUGAUGAGGCGGUUUCUCACCCUUUGGAGGCUGAUCAACUGGCUUUGGUUCUGGCUUGGGCUCUGGCUUGGGCUCUGGGAAUGGCUUGUGCUCAUCAAGUGGGGUUGGUGGCUUGGGUUUUGUGGGUGGCUCCGGCUUCUUUCCCUGAGGAGGCAAUUUCCCAUCCAAUGGCUCCUCUAGCAAACGAGUUCUGGUUUCUUGUAUGUGAUGAGGCGGCUUCUCACCCUUUGGAGGCUGAUCAACUGGCUUUGGUUCUGGCUUGGGCUCGGGCUUGGGCUCUGGCUUGGGCUCUGGGAAUGGCUUGUGCUCAUCAAGUGGGGUUGGUGGCUUGGGUUUUGUGGGUGGCUUCGGCUUCUUUCCCUGAGGAGGCAAUUUCCCAUCCAAUGGCUCCUCUAGCAAACGAGUUCUGGUUUCUUGUUUGUGAUGAGGCGGCUUCUCACCCUUUGGAGGCUCGUCGUUGCCCGGGUUUCCUUUGUGCUCUGGUGGUGGCUUCUCUCCUUUUCUUGGUGGCUCAUCUCUUGGGUGUCCUGGUUCAUGCUCAGGUGGUGGUUUCUCUCCUUUUCUCGGUGGCUCAUCUCCCGGGUGCUCAGGUGGUGGCUUCUCAUCCUUGUGAGGCUCAUCACCUGGUUUCUCCUUUGGUGGUGGCUUUUGUCCCUUAGGAGGCUCAUUGUUCUCUGGUGGAGGCUUUUUUCCCUUUGGAGGCUCAUUGUUCUCUGGUGGAGGCUUCUUUCCCUUUGGAGGCUGGUCAUUGCGCUCUGGUGGUGGCUUUUGUACCUGGGGAGGCUGGUCAUUGCGCUCUGGAGGUGGCUUUUCUCCCUUGGGAAAUUGGCCCUCCACCUCUAACAAAUGGUGUUCGUUGUGGGGUGGCUUGUCAACUGGUGGAGGCUUGUAAAUUGGGG
rnacentral:lncRNA from 1 species